rnacentral:rRNA from 1 species
GAUGACCGCUGGCGGCGUGCCUAAUACAUGCAAGUCGAGCGAAGCGGGGACGGGUGAGUAACACGUGGAUAACCUCCUAUAAGACUGGGAUAACUUCGGGAAACCGGAGCUAAACCGGAAACUUAUAGAUGGAUCCGCGCUGCAUUAGCUAGUUGGUAAGGGAACGGCGUACCAAGGCAACGAUGCAUAGCCGACCUGAGAGAGGGACCGGCCACACGGGAACUGAGACACGGUCCAGACUCCUACGGGAGGCAGCAGUAGGGAAUAUUCAGCAAUGGGCGAAAGCCUGACGAAGCAACGCCGCGUGAGUGAAGAAGGUCUUCGGGUCGUAAAGCACUGUAAUUGGGGAAGCGGUACCUAAUCAUAAAGCCACGGCUAACUACGUGCCAGCCGCCGCGGUAAUUC